rnacentral:tRNA from 2 species
GCCCCGGUAGACCAAUUGGCAGAGUCCGCGGUCUCAAAAGCCGUGCAGUGUGGGUUCGAGUCCCACCCGGGGCA